UGUGUUAAAAUUAACAUGUACGAUAAGUACUAUAGUGAUAAACGGUUUACGAAAUAGACUUUAUGGACCAGGGGGCAGUACCCUGCGUCUCCACCAAUUAUGUUAUGGGGACGAAAUAGGUUCGACAUAAAGUAUUAAAGGUGAAUUCGUCACUCGGCAUUGUACCACCGUUAUCGGACUGAAAAUUUAUAAUUGCCAACCUUAAUCGGAUAAGCAAUAGAUGUCGUCGUCGUAGCCGUUCGGCAGGCAAUCUUAACAGAAAGCGUGCCUUCGGACUUGACCUUGCUGCGUAAUUAAAACUCUUUCCUUUUUUAAGGGGAGUUAAAAUUACCAGUGCCGUUAUGCUAACAUAGCGGUAACGUCAUGCGGUCUGGGAACGCCGAGCAACAGAAGUUCC
rnacentral:tmRNA from 1 species